ensembl:lncRNA
AUGAAGUAUUUCUCAAAGGAAGUCCACCCUCAUCCGUGUCCCUCUUACCCACACGUCUCACUCCUGCAAUUACAGGCUUCUGCCCGGCCUUUGCAGGGCGCCUGUGUGCGAGUGAAGACGAGUGAUGGAGAUGAACUAUCUUUGCUGAAAAGGUUGGCGGAUGUGCAUCAGCAUGGAAAAACAAUCCAGAUCAUAAAUGAAGAAACUUUGGUUAAUUUCAGAGCAGAUUUGGAAUGCCAUGAAGGGUUAUGGAGGCGUGAGCCCACCAGAACGUAGCCCUCCCAUUUUCCGUUUUGUUGUGCCUAACCCAGCCCCCCACCCACCGCGCUCCAGUAUGAAGUAAUGGGAUGCUAUUGAAGAUGCUGCCUUUGAUGUCUGGAAGCAGAUGGGCAGAGGAGGAGAGCUGCGUGCUGACAGGUAUCUCUCUCAUCAUGUCUGAAGUCCAGAGGGGAUGUGAAGCUCUGCAAGACACACACUGAAGGAGACUGCGUUGAUUGUUCUGGCAAGUGUUUUGACUCCUCACCUCACUUCACCUGAAAUUAAACCCUGCCAACGAGACAUUUAGAUGCUGAUGUUAGCCAAAUUAGCCUCCUACAGACAUUGACGCUCAUUUAUGGCCUUUCUGCUGAUUAUAAUUUCCCCCACUGCCUUCACUCACGUAUGCCCAUUUGUCACGGAUUUGCUUCUUGUAUGGUUUGGCAUUCACAUCCAGGAGUUUCUUAAAUAAAAAGUUUCUUCCACAACAAGCUCCUGCAAAACUGUCUGGAAAUAAGCUGGACAUACGUACUUUACUCAGUAGGCCACUUUCAUGGUUGGGAAACCUCACUUGACCAUGAAUUCCCACAUAUAGAACUUUAACAUGCUUUUUUUGCAUAUACACUCACUGGCCACUUUAUUAGGUACACACUUCAGAACUGCCUAAUUUUUUUGUGGCAUAGAUUCAACAAGGUGUUGGAAACAUUCCUCAGAGAUUUUGGUCAUGAUAUUGACAUGAUAACAUCAUGAUAAUAUCACGCAGUUGCUGCAGAUUUGUCGGCUGCACAUCCAUGAUGUGAAUCUCCCGUUCCACCACAUACCAAAGCUGCUCUAUUGGUUUGAGAUCUGGUGACUGUGGAGGACAUUUGAGUAAAAUGAACUCAUUGUCAUGUUCAAGAAACCAGUCUGAGUUGUAACAAGUGGUUAUUUGAGUUACUGUUGCCUUUCUAUCAUCUCUAACCAGUCUGUCCAUUCUCCUCUGACAUCAACAAGGCAUUUUUGUCCACACAACUGCCGCUCACUGGAUAUUUUCUCUUUUUUGGACCAUUCUCUGUUAAAACCUAGGGAUGGUUGUGUGUGAAAAUCCCAGUAGAUCAGCAGUUUUUGAAAUACUCAGACCACCCUGUCUGGCACCAACAACCAUUCCACGUUCAAAGUCACUUAAAUCCCUUUCUUCCCCAUUCUGAUGCUCGGUUUGAACUUCAGCAAGUCAUCUUCACCACAUCUAGAUGCCUAAAUGCAUUGAGUUGCUGCCAUGUGAUUGGCUGAUUAGCAAUUUGUGUUACCAAGCAAUUGAAUAGGUGUACCUAAUAAAGUGGCCGGUAAGUGUAUAAACUGAUAAAAGCUAAGUCUCAUAGAGAUGUGAAGAGUGUGUGAUGUGCUAGCAGUGGUAAACUAUGUACUUUUGAGUAUGAAAGAAGCCAUUAUAUAAGCAUAUAAGCACACCUUAUACCAUAUGUAGAAUUUUUUUUUUUUUUUUUUUACAUUAAAGGGACCCUUUAACAUUUUAUAAUCAUAAGUAUAUUUAUUUAAGUUAUGUAGUUCAAAUAAAUGUUGACAACAAAGGCGGUAUGUUUUUAACAUUUGUUUUUACUUUUUACUAAGUAUACCUAUUCUAUUCUAUUCUAUUCUAUUCUAUUCUAUUCUAUUCUAUUCUAUUCUAUUCUAUUCUAUUCUAUUCUAUUUAUUGAUAUGAUUUGGGAUGCUCUAGUCCUAAUCUACCACACUAUACUAUAUAGGUUGGAUAGUAUACAAAUUAGCUUUCAAAAAGUGUUUCAUCCUACUGUAUUUAAAGUCAGCAGUGAAAGUACAUUGAUAAAUCUCUGCAGCAUGGCAGUUAUUUAAAUUGUGAAGAGUAGCAGACCCUCUUUCUGGAUGUCAGGAGACCAUGAAUCCCUCUCUGCUGUCCUCCUGCAAUCAAUCACCAUAUAUCAUAUAUAUUUCAUAUGUACAGGAUUGUAUUUAUAAUAUCAAUCAUUUGUUAUUUAUAUAUAUAAUCAAUCAUAAUCUCUUAUCUGACCACAGUUAUGUCUACAAGACCUUCAUCACUCCCAUAUUCAUUUUUCUGCUGUAGAUGUGAUCCUGGCACGGCCCUGACGUAAUUUAUGAAGCGCUGCAGAAACACGGCUCUAGCUCAGGCUAAUUGGUGAAUAACUAUUACCUCUCAGCAUGACAUGCUACUUCUACGCCCUUGGGCUUCUGUUCCUGGAUCCUGUCUGAAUAGUCAUCUAUUACAUUCAGUGCUGAGUCAGCAGCAGAACUUCUUAUUCGCGUCUGUGUUAACCUGAAAUACAGCUGGAUUCUUGUCAGGAUGUAAUGUGAAAUACAGACUAUGCUUGUACAUAAAAACACAAUCCUGCUUAAAACGCCGGCUUAUAUACCAGCUUCAGAUGCAUUGUUUUCUAGUGAUACACUGUAUAUUAUACAAUAGGGUUGUCAAAAAUAACACUAUACUUUAGGGCUAACUUAUAUACAGUACACUAUACAACUCACACUAUAUAUAUAUAUAUAUAUAUUAGAGGCACAGAUAAAUGUGACAUUCAUUAUUAUAGCUUUAUGUGAAGAUCCUUCCAAGUUUAAGUUUUAAUCUUUUUUCAUGUUCUGUCAAAGUUUGGGUCUGUUAAAUGGUAUAAAUGAUGGCACAUAUUUAACUGUAAUGUUGAAUGGCUGUUGAAGUCAUUUUAACCCAAAAAUUAAUUUAAAAGAGGCA